CUCGAUGGGAACCACAGACCAGUGUCACUAGCAAAGUCUGCGAGGAGUGUUACUGACGAUCAUCUUGGCUGAUACCACACAAGAAUCAACCAAGAAAGGCAUGGCAGCUGCGCAGGUCAUCUGGCUGGCGCUAAUGCUUUUCCAGGCCGGACAAGGUGAUGGUUUUUUGACCAGAGACCUGAAUGGCUACCGAUAUUGGGCGCUCACAGAAGUCCAUAAUUAUGACGAGGCGGAAGCGAGGUGUGCGCGGUAUUUUCAAGGCCACCUUGCAAUUAUCAAAUCAUCUUCUCAGCAGAACCUACUGAAAGAAAUGGCACUGGUAGAUCACCGUUCACACUACUGGAUUGGAU